AACGCGAAGAACCUUACCAAGUCUUGACAUCCCGGUGCCAAUGCAUGUAAUGUGCACUUUCUUCGGAACACCGGUGACAGGUGGUGCAUGGUUGUCGUCAGCUCGUGUCGUGAGAUGUUGGGUUAAGUCCCGCAACGAGCGCAACCCCUGUCCUUAGUAGCCAGCAGGUAAAGCUGGGCACUCUAGGGAGACUGCCAGGGAUAACCUGGAGGAAGGCGGGGAUGACGUCAAAUCAUCAUGCCCCUUAUGACUUGGGCUACACACGUGCUACAAUGGCGUAAACAAAGGGAAGCGAAGCUGUGAGGUGGAGCGAAUCCCAAAAAUAACGUCUCAGUUCGGACUGUAGUCUGCAACUCGACUACACGAAGCUGGAAUCGCUAGUAAUCGCGAAUCAGAAUGUCGCGGUGAAUACGUUCCGGGUCUUGUACACACCG
rnacentral:rRNA from 1 species